rnacentral:rRNA from 1 species
UGGGGAAUAUUGGACAAUGGGCGAAAGCCUGAUCCAGCCAUGCCGCGUGUGUGAAGAAGGUCUUCGGAUUGUAAAGCACUUUAAGUUGGGAGGAAGGGCAGUAAGCGAAUACCUUGCUGUUUUGACGUUACCGACAGAAUAAGCACCGGCUAACUCUGUGCCAGCAGCCGCGGUAAUACAGAGGGUGCAAGCGUUAAUCGGAAUUACUGGGCGUAAAGCGCGCGUAGGUGGUUCGUUAAGUUGAAUGUGAAAGCCCCGGGCUCAACCUGGGAACUGCAUCCAAAACUGGCGAGCUAGAGGAGGGCAGAGGGUGGUGGAAUUUCCUGUGUAGCGGUGAAAUGCGUAGAUAUAGAAAGGAACACCAGUGGCGAAGGCGACCACCUGGGCUCAUACUGACACUGAGGUGCGAAAGCGUGGGGAGCAAACAGG